GGGAAGACCGGGUAAUGGGAGUCAGCGGGUAAUGGUGGUCACCCACACAUCUCCAAAACUACAAACACUAGAAAUACGUUUACGGGCGUUCCCGCCCCCCUCUGGCCCCGCGCUAGCGCUGCGACAGCGCCGCGCCAGUAUGGCGACGGCAUCGGGAUUAAGAGGUGUGUUUUGUUUUUGCGGCUCGCCGAUGUAAAUUUUUACGUACGCAAAAUAGACGAUGCCGAAAGUACGAGUCAGAACUACCACAAAAGCUUCCUGGUCUUCUGACACAUUGGAAAAAGCAGUGAAACUUAUAGAAGAAGAUGGAUUUUUGUAUGAUCCUCAUUACCCGCAAGGUGACCACAAUAGCCCAUACCUCUGUGCAAUGGGAGUCAAAACAGUUAAUUUUUGUAACUUUCAUAUUUGCCAAAGAUGAUUAGUAAUGUGACGAUUAUUGAUCUCAAAUAAUAGUCAAUUAAGUAGAUUUUGUUAUGAGGCGGUUGCAAUAAAGAUUUCGUUUCAUUUUA